GUGCCAGCAGCCGCGGUAAUACGGGGGGGGCAAGCGUUGUUCGGAAUUACUGGGCGUAAAGGGCGCGUAGGCGGUUCGCUAAGUUGGAUGUGAAAACUCUGGGCUCAACCCAGAGCCUGCAUCCAAAACUGGCGGGCUAGAGUUCUGGAGGGGGUAGCGGAAUUCCUGGUGUAGCGGUGAAAUGCGUAGAUAUCAGGAGGAACACCGGUGGCGAAGGCGGCUACCUGGACAGAAACUGACGCUGAGGCGCGAAAGCUAGGGGAGCAAACAGGAUUAGAAACCCGCGUAGUCC
rnacentral:rRNA from 1 species